rnacentral:rRNA from 1 species
UACGGAGGGUGCAAGCGUUAUCCGGAUUCACUGGGUUUAAAGGGUGCGUAGGUUGAUGGGGAAGUCAGUGGUGAAAUACUCCGACUCAAUCGGAGAACUGCCGUUGAUACUAUCCAUCGUGAAUACGGUGGAGGCGGGCGGAAUGCGUCAUGUAGUGGUGAAAUACUUAGAUAUGACGCAGAACACCUAUUGCGAAGGCAGCUCGCUACACCGGCAUUGACACUGAGGCACGAAAGCGUGGGGAUCAAACAGG